CCAUCUAGUAGCUGGUUCCCU
rnacentral:siRNA from 1 species